UCCUCGAUGGUCUAACGGUCAUGAUUUCCGCUUGUCAAUCCUAAAAGGAGUGCAAGCGCGGGAGACCUGGGUUCGACUCCCAGUCGGGGAG
rnacentral:tRNA from 1 species